UACGUAGGUGGCUAGCGUUGUCCGGAUUUACUGGGCGUAAAGAGCGCGCAGGCGGUCGUUCAAGUCGAGUGUGAAAGCCCCCGGCUCAACUGGGGAGGGUCACUCGAUACUGAUCGACUCGAAGGCAGGAGAGGGAAGCGGAAUUCCCGGUGUAGUGGUGAAAUGCGUAGAUAUCGGGAGGAACACCAGUGGCGAAGGCGGCUUUCUGGCCUGCUCUUGGCGCUGAGGCGCGAAAGCUAGGGUAGCAAACGGG
rnacentral:rRNA from 1 species